GUCGACCGUGGUGUAGUUGGUAGCACCGCUAGUUCUGUUUAAUGCUCAGAGACCUCGGUUCGAUUCCGGGCGGUGGCA